GCGAAAGGAAGUUAGGGCGUCAGGUGGAUGCCUUGGCUCUCGGAGGCGAUGAAGGACGUGACAAGCUGCGAUAAGCCGCGUGUAGGCGCAAAUGGCCGUUGAUGCGCGGAUUUCCGAAUGGGACAACCCGUCAGUCUGAAGGACUGUCAUCCGCAUUUUCUGUGCGGAGGCGAACCUAGGGAACUGAAACAUCUUAGUACCUAGAGGAAGAGAAAACAACAGUGAUUCCCCCAGUAGUGGCGAGCGACCGGGGAAGAGCCCAAACCGUCCGUGUAGCGAUGCACGGCCGGGGUAGUAGGACCACGGCGUGGUAUGCAGAGUGCGAGGGGAAGGUUCUGGAAAGUUCCGUCGUAGAAGGUGAUAAUCCUGUACCCGAAGCAUGAUGCGGCCUAGUGGUAUCCUGAGUAACGCGGGGCACGAGUAACCCUGCGCGAAUCGGCCGGGCCCAUCCGGCAAGGCUAAAUACUCCCGAGAGACCGAUAGUGAACCAGUACCGUGAGGGAAAGGUGAAAAGCACCCCUUUGAGGGGAGUGAAAGAGUACCUGAAACCUGUCGCCUUCAAGCGGUCGGAGCAUGCCCUGCAUGUGACGGCGUGCCUUUUGCAUAAUGAACCUACGAGUCACCGUCACCGGCGAGGUUAAGCGGCUCUGCCGCGCAACCGCAGUGAAAGCGAGGCUGAAGAGGCCGCAUGAGUCGGUGGGGGUGGACGCGAAACCGGGUGAUCUACACAUGUCCAGGGUGAAGUCCCGGUAACACGGGAUGGAGGCCCGCACGGAUAAGCGUUGAAAAGCUUCCCGAUGAGGUGUGUGUAGGAGUGAAAGGCCAAUCAAACCCGGAGAUAGCUCGUACUCCCCGAAAGGCAUUUAGGUGCCGCGUGCGGUUUUUUCCCUGUGAGGUAGAGCGACCGAUAGGUCAAGAGGGCUUCGCCGCCUAUCGAGACCUGACGAACUCCGAAUGCUCAGGGAGCGCAGCCGUGCAGUAAGGGUGCGGGUGCUAAGGUCCGUGCCCGAGAGGAGAAGAAUCCAGACCGCCGUCUAAGGUCCCGGAAUCCUGUCUGAGUUAGUCUAA
rnacentral:ncRNA from 1 species